rnacentral:rRNA from 1 species
GAUGAACGCUAGCGGCAGGCCUAAUACAUGCAAGUCGAACGAUAUUAAGGGGCUUGCUCCUUAAGAAAGUGGCGCACGGGUGCGUAACGCGUAUGCAACCUACCUUAAUCAGGGGGAUAGCCCGAAGAAAUUCGGAUUAACACCGCAUAAAAACACAGGAUAGCAUUAUCCAAUGUUCAAAUAUUUAUAGGAUUAAGAUGGGCAUGCGUGUCAUUAGCUAGUUGGCGGGGUAACGGCCCACCAAGGCGACGAUGACUAGGGGAUCUGAGAGGAUAGCCCCCCACACUGGUACUGAGACACGGACCAGACUCCUACGGGAGGCAGCAGUAAGGAAUAUUGGUCAAUGGAGGCAACUCUGAACCAGCCAUGCCGCGUGCAGGAAGACUGCCCUAUGGGUUGUAAACUGCUUUUAUCCGGGAAUAAACCUUUCUACGUGUAGGAAGCUGAAUGUACCGGAAGAAUAAGGAUCGGCUAACUCCGUGCCAGCCGCCGCGGUAACAC